GUCAGCCUCUUUCUGAGGUACUGCAGAGACGCUGGCAACCUGACUGAAAAAGAAAGUGACAGUAGUGGUCUUGUUUCUUCCCUUCUCUGGAGAGAUACCUGCCCCUAGUCUGGAGGUCCCAUGCCAACAGAAUUGUAGCUACUGGGAAUGAAACCAAAGGACAGAAAAUAGAGGCUGUAAGACAUGAAACAAACUCCCAGUGGAUUGGCUGUGCUGGAUCCCCACCUCAUUGCUAUGACAGGAUGGCUGAUAUAUAAAAGACUUAAGGUAAGAAAGAUUUAUUUUGGCUCAUGG